CACACACACACACACACCUGGAUUAAUGAGUUAGAUUUCUAUGUGUGACCGGCUGAUUAGCCAUCACACCAUACAGCUGUGGGGGAACUAAUGAUUGCUUUGGCCGUUGCAGCAGGGGGUUCAAAUUGAUUGACGGACGUAGCUCCAGUAUACACUUGAACACUCCUGGACAGACCAGUUUUCUGUGGCUGCAGUGCAGAGUCUGCUGACGGUGUCUCUGCUUAUCGGCGGCGUCAUGCGCGUGUAGCGUCGGACAGCCGAGGUAACCAAAAUGUUUGUUUAUGUUUGUUGUUAUCGUUCUGUUGCUUGAUUGUGGUUAAACAUUUCUUUGUUUCAUUACAGUUUUGCCUCUGUUGCCUUGUCUUUCCGCUUGUUUAUUUUGUUGUUUCUUUCUUUUACUUUGUAGUCGUUUUGCCUAAUUUUGUAUCAGUUUGCUUGGUUCGAGUUAAGUUUCGUUUUCUCCCCGUGUGUUGUUUAUUCUCAGGUUCUUGUGGCUGUGUUCUCUGGCUCAGUAAUCAGGUUUCUUCCCUCCAUAGUUGCGUAGGGCCUGUGUGACUUCCAGUUUUAAUAACUGCGUUUACAUUAACAUUAGUGUGUGUUGUGUGCUGAACAUAUUUUUGUACCAGAAUAAAAAAUUGUAUUUAUAUUUUUCUA